rnacentral:misc_RNA from 1 species
AUUAAAAAAAAAAAAAUUAUUGAAGAGAAAGAAAAAGAUUUGACAGAGGAAGGCACGAGUGCAAGACUGAAUGAAUAUUUUGUGCGGAAAAGGUGGAUAUAAUAAUAUAAAGCCCAGAUUCCCUUCCACGGCUGACAGUCUGUAUGUCUCAUUCAUAGCGUGGCUCUGUUUCUGCUUCAUAGGCCUCACUCUUGCUGUUGCCUCUUCUCUGCCCAUUGCCAAUUCACCAAAUCCAUCUUCAUGGCUUCCCUCAUCGAAUCUGGCUGGCUGGUAUCUCCUCUCUUUCUCCUUUCUUCUACCUUUUCUCAAACAAUUUUGCUCUUCUUCGAUUUUAUGCAUUUCUUUCUCAUUGCUCCGCACUCUUGGAUCUCUCUCUCUGCUUAUACGUAUGUUGAUGCUAAUUUCUGUGUUAAUUUCUCAUGUUUCGACCAUUCAAGCUUCUUUCUGGAUGGUUUUGAGGGAAAUGGGCGGCAGAUCUUUUUUUCGCUGUGUAUAGUAAAUAUCGAGGAGCUUUAUUAUUAUUUUUUUCCUUUCUUGUUUUAGCGGAUAAAUUUAGGUUCAACUCGUUUCUUGUUCGUGAUGUUUUGGAGCACUAUCAUUGCUUGUUCAUUAUGACAUCUUUGAAGGAUAGCUGGAAUUGAUUUUCCUUUUCUUCUCAAUUUUUCUAAUGAUUACGUUAUUCCUCAUGAUUAAUUAGGAAUCUGAUACAGUUAUUCCACAUGCGCUUCGUUUUCUUUUUCCUUUUUAUUAAAAUUUGAAAAUAUAUAAAUAUAUAUUUUUUGCCUCCCGUUGUGUGAUUUGUUCUUUGGAACUGUUUACUGAUGUUUGGUGUGCUGUAAUGUAAUAGAAUGGACUGAAUUACAUAAUAAGAUGGGCAGCGGAAUGGAGUAAAGUAUAAUGCAAUGGAUAAUCCUGUUCCUUAUUUUAGUUGCAAUUUUAGUAUUUUACUGAUGGAAGCG